UACGUAGGGCGCGAGCGUUAUCCGGAAUUAUUGGGCGUAAAGAGCUCGUAGGCGGUUUGUCACGUCUGCUGUGAAAACUGGAGGCUCAACCUCCAGCCUGCAGUGGGUACGGGCAGACUAGAGUGAUGUAGGGGAGACUGGAAUUCCUGGUGUAGCGGUGAAAUGCGCAGAUAUCAGGAGGAACACCGAUGGCGAAGGCAGGUCUCUGGGCAUUAACUGACGCUGAGGAGCGAAAGCAUGGGGAGCGAACAGG
rnacentral:rRNA from 1 species